rnacentral:misc_RNA from 1 species
GAUGAAGAACGUAGCGAAAUGCGAUAAGUAAUGCGAAUUGCAGAAUUCAGUGAAUCAUCGAAUCUUUGAACGCACAUUGCGCCCGCCAGUACUCUGGCGGGCAUGCCUGUCUGAGCGUCAUUUCAACCCUCGCGCCCGGCUUCUGUCGGGGGCGGUGUUGGGGAUCGGCCUCCCGUCUUCCGGGCGGCCGGCCCCUAAAUGGAGUGGCGACCGCGCCGUAGCCUCCUCUGCGUAGUAGUGAAACACUCGCGGGCGGAGAGCGGUGCGGCCCGCCGUAAAACCCCCAACUCUUCUAAGGUUGACCUCAGAUCAGGUAGGAAUACCCGCUGAACUUAAGCAUAUCGAUAAGCGGAGGA